AGUCAUUGAAAAACAAUCUUAUGCCUGAUCAACAGAUAAUAUUUUAAAUUACACCAGACUUUAACAACUACAAAUUUAGUAUGUAAAAUUUAUGUUUGCUUGUAAACUUACGUACGCAAAUUGAACGUUUUGAGUAACGAAUUAUUUCAAGAGAAGAAACUUGAAAAAUCAAUGCAAAAUGUUCACUAGCUGAUAGGCUACAACGGAUUCUUCAACGCCAAGACGGAAUUCAUCAACAUUCAAAAUGUGAUGAUUAUUGGGACUUUGAUGGGCACUCAGGCAAUAUCUGAGCGGUUCUUGUCGAAGCUGCAUCUGGUCAACAUCGAUUUCCCUGAUAAAGAGGACUUGUCCGUCAUUGUCGUCGCCUACUUAUCGGCCAUCAUCAGGUCAUUUUUCUCCAGCGCCAAUUUUCCCAAGCCCAAAGUCGUGAAAUUGGCCAUAACAAUGAUAACGAUCUUCAAUAAGAUUCGCGACACUCCAGAACUUCACAGGCAGGGUUUUGGCUCUAUAAAUCCUCACGAUUUGGUGGGCUGGUGCAACCAUCUGCAGUUCUACUCAACUUUGCAGUCUG